UACGAAGGGGGCGAGCGUUGAUCGGAAUUACUGGGCGUAAAGGGCGCGUAGGCGGCUUCAGAAGUCAGGUGUGAAAGCCUUGGGCUUAAACCAAUAAUUGCACUUGAUACUCUGUGGCUAUAAUGCAGGAGAGGUUGGUGGAAUUCCCAGUGUAGAGGCGAAAUUCGUAGAGAUUUGGAAGAACACCAGUGGCUAAGGCGGCAAACUGGACUGUGAUUGACGCUGAGGCGCGAAAGCGUGGGGAGCAAACAGG
rnacentral:rRNA from 1 species